AUUGAACGCUGGCGGCAGGCUUAACACAUGCAAGUCGAGCGGGGUGAUGGUGCUUGCACUAUCACUUAGCGGCGGACGGGUGAGUAAUGCUUAGGAAUCUGCCUAUUAGUGGGGGACAACAUCUCGAAAGGGAUGCUAAUACCGCAUACGUCCUACGGGAGAAAGCAGGGGAUCACUUGUGACCUUGCGCUAAUAGAUGAGCCUAAGUCGGAUUAGCUAGUUGGUGGGGUAAAGGCCUACCAAGGCGACGAUCUGUAGCGGGUCUGAGAGGAUGAUCCGCCACACUGGGACUGAGACACGGCCCAGACUCCUACGGGAGGCAGCAGUGGGGAAUAUUGGACAAUGGGGGGAACCCUGAUCCAGCCAUGCCGCGUGUGUGAAGAAAGCCUUAUGGUUGUAAAGCACUUUAAGCGAGGAGGAGGCUCUUUUGGUUAAUACCCAAGAUGAGUGGACGUUACUCGCAGAAUAAGCACCGGUUAACUCUGUGCCAGCAGCCGCGGUAA
rnacentral:rRNA from 1 species